GCCUUCGUGGUGUUGUGGUCAGCACACUCGACACGUAACUGAGAGCACACUCGACACGUAACUGAGUGGUCCGUGGUUCAAUUCCCGGUGAAGGCG
rnacentral:tRNA from 1 species